rnacentral:rRNA from 1 species
AUGAAAGCUUUAUUCUGGAAUAUUAGAGGUUUCGGUGCUAGGGGGCGCAGGGACCAGCUUAAAGAUUUAGUUCGUGCUGAAAAUAUUGAUUUCAUUGGUCUUGUCGAAACUCUCAAACCUUCCUUUUCCCCUAAUGAACUAUCGGCCGUUACUGGGAUAGACAGAUUCAAUUGGAAUUUUGUUGCUUCUGAUGGUCACUCAGGUGGUAUUUUGCUUGGCUUCAAAAAAGAUGUCUUCGAUUUUGUUGCCUUUGACCAUGGCAUUUUUUGGGCUAGCACGGUGGUUUCUCAUCGAUCCCUUAACUCCUUACUUGAAAUUAUGGUGGUUUAUAGCCCGGCUGAUCACUCUAUGUCUUACAACUUCUUGGACGAACUGCACAAUAAGAUCGACUCUUGUCAGGUGCCUCUGCUAAUCGGGGGAGAUUUUAAUUUGCUUCGAUACCCUUCGGAUAAGAGUUCUUCUAAUUUCUCUUGGCCUCUGGCCGAUGCUUUUAACGCUUUCAUAAGGGACACGGCGAUCCGUGAAGUCCCUAGGGUUGGGGCCCGUUUCACCUGGACGAAUCGCAUAUCCUCUCCCAUCCGUUCUGUCCUCGAUAGGGUUUUCCUAUGUCCUAGCUAG